rnacentral:rRNA from 1 species
UACGUAGGGCGCAAGCGUUGUCCGGAAUUAUUGGGCGUAAAGAGCUCGUAGGUGGUCUGUUGCGUCCGCUGUGAAAACCCGAGGCUCAACCUCGGGCCUGCAGUGGGUACGGGCAGACUAGAGUGCGGUAGGGGAGAUUGGAAUUCCUGGUGUAGCGGUGGAAUGCGCAGAUAUCAGGAGGAACACCGAUGGCGAAGGCAGAUCUCUGGGCCGUAACUGACGCUGAGGAGCGAAAAGCAUGGGGAGCGAACAGG